rnacentral:rRNA from 1 species
AUUGAACGCUGGCGGCAUGCCUAACACAUGCAAGUCGAACGGGGCAGCAAUGCCCAGUGGCGGACGGGUGAGGAAUACGUAGGAAUCUGCCCUUAAGUGGGGGAUAACCAGGGGAAACCCUGACUAAUACCGCAUGAUCUCUUCGGAGCAAAGAGGGGGAUCGCAAGGCCUCUCGCUUCUGGAUGAGCCUACGUCUGAUUAGCUAGUUGGUAGGGUAAAGGCCUACCAAGGCGACGAUCAGUAACUGGUCUGAGAGGAUGAUCAGUCACACCGGAACUGAGACACGGUCCGGACUCCUACGGGAGGCAGCAGUGGGGAAUAUUGGACAAUGGGCGCAAGCCUGAUCCAGCAAUGCCGCGUGUGUGAAGAAGGCCUUCGGGUUGUAAAGCACUUUAGCCUGGAAAGAAAAAACUUUGGUUAACACCCAAAGUCUUGACGGUACCAGGAGAAUAAGCACCGGCUAACUCUGUGCCAGCAGCCGCGUAAAAC